rnacentral:rRNA from 1 species
AACGAACGCUGGCGGCAGGCCUAACACAUGCAAGUCGAGCGCCCUUUCGGGGGAGCGGCGGACGGGUGAGUAACGCGUGGGAAUAUGCCCUUCUCUACGGAAUAGCCUCGGGAAACUGAGAGUAAUACCGUAUACGCCCUAUGGGGGAAAGAUUUAUCGGGGAAGGAUUAGCCCGCGUUGGAUUAGGUAGUUGGUGGGGUAAUGGCCUACCAAGCCGACGAUCCAUAGCUGGUUUGAGAGGAUGAUCAGCCACACUGGGACUGAGACACGGCUCAGACUCCUACGGGAGGCAGCAGUGGGGAAUCUUAGACAAUGGGGGCAACCCUGAUCUAGCCAUGCCGCGUGAGUGAUGAAGGCCUUAGGGUUGUAAAGCUCUUUCAGCUGGGAAGAUAAUGACGGUACCAGCAGAAGAAGCCCCGGCUAACUCCGUG